AUUGAACGCUGGCGGCAGGCUUAACACAUGCGAGUCGAGCGGAGCGAGGGUGCUUGCACCUUAGCUUAGCGGCGGACGGGUGAGUAAUGCUUAGGAAUCUGCCUAUUAGUGGGGGACAACAUUCCGAAAGGGAUGCUAAUACCGCAUACGCCCUACGGGGGAAAGCAGGGGAUCUUCGGACCUUGCGCUAAUAGAUGAGCAUAAGUCGGAUUAGCUAGUUGGUGGGGUAAAGGCCUACCAAGGCGACGAUCUGUAGCGGGUCUGAGAGGAUGAUCCGCCACACUUGGCCUGGGACACGGCCCAGACUCCUACGGGAGGCAGCAGUGGGGAAUAUUGGAAGAUGGGCGGAAGCCUGAUCCAGCCAUGCCGCGGGUGUGAAGAAGGCAUUUUGGUUGUAAAGCACUUUAAGCUAGGAGGAGGCUCUUAAGGUUAAUACCCUUGAUGAGUGGACGUUACUCGCAGAAUAAGCACCGGCUAACUCUGUGCCAGCCGCCGCCGUAAAAC
rnacentral:rRNA from 1 species